rnacentral:rRNA from 1 species
CCUACGGGUGGCAGCAGUGGGGAAUAUUGCACAAUGGGCGCAAGCCUGAUGCAGCCAUGCCGCGUGUGUGAAGAAAGCCUUCGGGUUGUAAAGCACUUUCAGCGGGGAGGAAGGCGGUGAGGUUAAUAACCUCAUCGAUUGACGUUACCCGCAGAAGAAGCACCGGCUAACUCCGUGCCAGCAGCCGCGGUAAUACGGAGGGUGCAAGCGUUAAUCGGAAUUACUGGGCGUAAAGCGCACGCAGGCGGUCUGUCAAGUCGGAUGUGAAAUCCCCGGGCUCAACCUGGGAACUGCAUUCGAAACUGGCAGGCUAGAGUCUUGUAGAGGGGGGUAGAAUUCCAGGUGUAGCGGUGAAAUGCGUAGAGAUCUGGAGGAAUACCGGUGGCGAAGGCGGCCCCCUGGACAAAGACUGACGCUCAGGUGCGAAAGCGUGGGGAGCAAACAGGAUUAGAUACCCCAGUAGUC